CUGGCUCAGAACGAACGCUGGUGGCGUGUCUUAUACAUGCAAGUCGAGCGAGGCAGCAAUGCCGAGCGGCGAACGGGUGAGUAACGCGUAAGCAAUCUGCCCCAUAUCAGGAAAUACCCGUGCCAACGCGCGGUUAAUGUCCAGGAGAGUGGCCCUCUGCAUGGAGGGUCGACUAGAGAUUUAUCGGUAUGGGAUGAGCUUGCGUCCGAUUAGCUAGUUGGCGGGGCAACGGCCCACCAAGGCGACGAUCGGUAGCCGGCCUGAGAGGGUGAUCGGCCACAUUGGGACUGAGAUACGGCCCAGACUCCUACGGGAGGCAGCAGUAGGGAAUAUUGCACAAUGGGGGAAACCCUGAUGCAGCAACGCCACGUAUGGGAAGAAGCAUUUCGGUGUGUAAACCACUGUCAUGAGGGAAUAAGGCCCUUAUUCGUAAGGGAUUGAAUGUACCUUGAGAGGAAGCACCGGCAAACUUCGUGCCAGCAGCAGC
rnacentral:rRNA from 1 species